UUUUUUACCUUUUCUGGCGGUCGGCGAUCGACUUCCUUCUCAAACGUCUGGUUCUUCUUCUCUGGGGAGGGCUGACGGCUAGAGUUUAGGUUUCUAUGUGAUAUCAAGUAUUUGUAACCAUCUCACGUUGAUUUAGGCAGUCCAUCAUGAUCGAUCCCGUCUAUCCAAUCGCGCAUAAAGAGGAAAAAAAUAUGGACCGUACAUUGCGAUUGAUCUCGACCGUCCGAUCGUGCCUAAGGAAGAAACGAAUAUGGGUUGUCCAAGCGCGCAGGAUCGAUCCUGGAUU
rnacentral:lncRNA from 1 species